rnacentral:rRNA from 1 species
AUAAGGGAAUAAAGUUCGCCACGUGUGGUGUUUUGUAUGUACCUUAUGAAUAAGCAUCGGCUAAUUCCGUGCCAGCAGCCGCGGUAAUACGGAAGAUGCGAGCGUUAUCCGGAUUUAUUGGGUUUAAAGGGAGCGUAGGCGGGCUUUUAAGUCAGCGGUCAAAUGCCACGGCUCAACCGUGGCCAGCCGUUGAAACUGCAAGCCUUGAGUCUGCACAAAGUGGGCACAUGGAAUUCGUGGUGUAGCGGUGAAAUGCUUAGAUAUCACGAAGAACCCCGAUUGCGAAGGCAGCCUGCUAAGCGCCACUGACGUUGAGGCUCGAAAGUGCGGGGAUCAAACAGGAUUAGAUACCCUGGUAGUCCGCACGGUAAACGAUGAAUGCUCGCUAUGGGCGAUACAAUGUCCGUGGCCAAGCGAAAGCGUUAAGCAUUCCACCUGGGGAGUACGCCGGCAACGGUGAAACUCAAAGGAAUUGACGGGGGCCCGCACAAGCGGAGGCACAUGUGGUUUAAUUCGAUGAUACGCGAGGAACCUUACCCGGGCUUGAACUGCAGUGGAAUUAUCCGGAAACGGAUAAGCGAGCAAUCGCCGCUGUGGAGGUGCUGCAUGGUUGUCGUCAGCUCGUGCCGUGAGGUGUCGGCUUAAGUGCCAUAACGAGCGCAACCCUUCUCCCCAGUUGCCAUCGGGUAAUGCCGGGCACUCUGGGGACACUGCCAUCGUAAGAUGCGAGGAAGGUGGGGAUGACGUCAA